rnacentral:lncRNA from 1 species
CAACUUCUUGUAGUUUCAUCUACACCAACCCCCCGACAAAAUGUCUAUCCUCACAAUGGGCGAAUCACAUAGAGGAACGGUUGCAAACAUCGCAACAUAUGUAAGUUUUUACUUUUGUUAACUUUUUAUCUUUCAUCUUCACCAACCCCCUUUUAUUUUAACAUACCAACUUAGUUAAGUUUUUUUUUCUUUCUUUUAUAGGAUGUAUCAAGGUUCCGAACUCGGGUCCACGAAUAUGUCCAUAUGGACCCAAUGAUUCAACCUUAUGUUGAACUCGCCGAUUUUGGUCAUAUAAGCAAGAUUUUG